GGAGGGGUGUCCGAGUGGCUUAAGGAGCUGGUCUUGAAAACCAGUGACCCGUUUUCGCGGGCCGUGGGUUCAAAUCCCACCCCCUCCG
rnacentral:tRNA from 1 species